CAAGGAAGGAGAAUGAGUAUACAGUAUACGAAGAAGGAAGAAGGACCUUUCAUUAGAAUUACCAAAAUAUUUUAAACCUAUUUGUAAUUGUAUCAAUCAAUGGAUAAUAAACUAUUUCGUGGCUCCUAUAUAAUCUUUAAUCUUUCUUAUCUAGGGCAGGCCUUACUUACGGAUACAAAGAGAGGUGGACGUGAAAAUAGAGGACUCGUCACUAAAUGUACGAUGAAGAUACAAAAUGGAAUCUAAGUUUCCUUCCUAUUGGCGAUUGUGCGUUUUUCGUCAAAUCAUAGACUUAGAAUAGAACAAGAGCCAAGCAACGAAGCAACUGGGGUAUUUUCUGGAUAUAACAUGCACAAGGGCCACAAUGCUAUUGAAUUCAAUUUCCGUACAAACCGCUGAUAAUGAAGAACAUGCAGCUGAAUUGCAGGUCUAGGUUUAAUUAGCAUAAACUACUUAUUACUUAACCAAAAAUGAGUCAAGAAGAAGAUAAAUCUGAGAAUAGUGAAUUUAAAACAUUGAAACCCUACUGGAAUUGUCCCCUUUGUACAUUUGAAAACAAAGCAGAAUCCUUCAAAUGUAAGAUGUGUCAUGUAAGACGUGGAAGUUCCAGUAGACAAUCCAGCAUCAACCCAGUACUGGCUACUCAGCAAUAUAGACCUACGAGUCAUCAGAAUCAUAAGAAACACCAUCUAAGCAAACAAAAGGAUCCAUCAAAUAAAAAUAAAAACAAACAAAAUGUCAAGGUGGGUCGGUUAGGAAAACGAAGCAAACAAGCACAUACAGCUAAAAUUAGCAAUAUAGACCGUAAAUCUGGACGUUCCUUAGCUAUUACGGUCAAUAAUGUUACUGUCACUUUUACUGAAUAUAAACUCAAACCAAAAAAGACAAAUAAUGUAAAUAAGAAAAGUAAGAGUUCUGUGUUUUUACCUCAGUGUUUGGUUCCUAGUGAAAUAGACUCGAGUUCUAAAAGCUCUUUUACUUCACAGUCAGAAUCCUUGCAAAGUUAUACUGAUGUGGUAUCAAAUGACAAAACUGAGUCAAAUGGUAUUGAUCAGUAACAACUGAUUCAGUGCGUUGCUCAGGUAAUAUGUUUGAUCUCAGGAAAUAAACUCGUUUCAAUAUUAGGGAUCUGGAGAACAAACCGUAUACUGUAAUGUAUUGAUCCAAGUUUUCUUUGUAUACCUUAUUUGUUUCGUUAAUGUUUGUUUACUAAUUGGUAAAUUAAUUUUAAAGAGGAAAUGGAGAUUUUUGUCUGAAGAAACCAGCAGCUGUUAACGGUCUACAAACGUAUUGAGUUAUUGAAUAUUAAAUGAUUUUAUAAUAAUUAGACCUCUGAAAAAUGCAUAUUCUUAAUUAUUUAGCAUCAAAUAAAUGUUUUACAUAUAGAUAGUUCACAAUAUACAUAUUUAUUAUCUAGUAAAAGUUUCACUGAAUAGUUUAAGUAACUCACAAGGUUUAUUAAAUUUCUACAUUAGCACUACUACAUACAGUGUUAAUCAGGAAGUUAUUUGAUAACUAAUUGUUUCAGGAAUUUUUGCCAUUAGAAGUUCAAAAAAUACAAAAGUUACAAUAUCCUCUAACCGCUUGAUAAAAAAUUGGAAAAAUUCAAAUUUUGAAAAAUAUGGUAAUAAACUAAAAAUAAGUAAGUAAAUUUUUAAUACCUAACAAAAUAAUUGUGUUUUCGGAUUUUUUGGAUCACAUAAUGCUGAAUUAGGUAAAUUAAGGAUUGUGUAAAUCAAGGACUACCUGUAUUUGAACUUAAUUUAGAAUUAAAGUUACACUGAAAAUGGUUAUUUUGAGCUUUUUAUACCUGCAAAUAAACAACUCAGGAUUUUAUGGUUUAGAAAGUAUAACUGAGUAUCCGUUUGUAUUCAUAAGACUAUAAAACCAUAAAAAUAUAUUUUUUUUAUCUGUUGGUUUGGAACAUAAUUAUUUUUUAUUAUUAUUAUAAGGUCACAUUUGAAGUAGAUUACAAAUUUAGGGGACAUUCCGUGUGCACCAUGUAGCACAGGUGUUGUGAGAUAAUCCUGAUAUUGAUAUUACAUAAUGCAGGCUAAGUCAACUGUCCACGUGACUCUCUUGUGAAGGCACUAAGUACAUUUGACUAGAUUUGUACAAACUUAUUUGGGGAUUAGUUUAAAUGGGUAGGCCUACAGUAGCAAAGACAGCCACAUUGCCAUUUGAAGUACAUGACUUGUGGGCCAUGAACCGGCUUAUGGCUACUGUAUGUGUAAUGUGGAAUCAGUUUUGUUUAAGAAUCAUGAUUGAGUGAUGCAAGUAUGAUUAAUUAUUGUUUUCUCCAAAAAGUUAGGUCAAGUGUUAUGCUGAUUUUCUGUUAGCUACCCUUAUUAUGCCAAAACUAGUUACUGAAGGUUAAUAUUUUGAAAAAUAUUAAGUGAGUAAAUUUGUAUAAAUUAUACAUUACAUUUGUUGGAUACAUUUCAAAUAAACAGGUAAAUUUUAAAAUGUCUGAACACUUUUUAGCAAACAUUUCCUCACUUCUGUCAUACUGAACAGGUGCUAGGGUUCUAGAUGUUGCUAUACAUUUUAGUUUAGAAGUAUUGUAUGCUGGUGUAAGUAACUUACUUUAUGUACUGUUUUCUUGCAAAAGCAUUUAAAUAAUGUUUGUUGUAAAUAUUUUAAAAGGGUAUAUAUGUGCAAUCCAGUUAUAUUCCUAAAUCUGUAAUACAAAUUUGCAUAGAGAGAUAAUGUUUCAUGUACCUGUUUUCUGUGUAACAUAAUAUAAUGCUAUACGUGGUAAUUAUUGUGUUAAAUAUACAUAGAAGUGAU